GCUACACAUGCAGUCGAACGGAGAAUCAGCAAUGGUUCUUAGUGGCGAACGGGUGAGUAACGCGUAGACAACCUGCCUCAAAGAUGGGGACAACACCGCGAAAGUGGUGCUAAUACCGAAUGUUGCAUUGGAUUCGCAUGAAUCUGAUACUAAAGGUGGCCUCUUUAAAUGCUACCGCUUUGAGAUGGGUCUGCGUCUGAUUAGCUAGUUGGUGAGGUAACAGCUCACCAAGGCGAUGAUCAGUAGCCGGUCUGAGAGGAUGAACGGCCACACUGGGACUGAGACACGGCCCAGACUCCUACGGGAGGCAGCAGUGGGGAAUCUUCCGCAAUGGACGAAAGUCUGACGGAGCAACGCCGCGUGAGUGAAGAAGGUUUUCGGAUCGUAAAGCUCUGUCUUUGAGGACGAAUGUGCUUAAUGUAAAUAAUGUUAAGUAAUGACGGUACUCGAGGAGGAAGCCACGGCUAACUACGUGCCAGCAGCCGCGGUAAUACGUAGGUGGCAAGCGUUGUCCGGAAUUAUUGGGCGUAAAGCGCGCGCAGGCGGGAUAUUAAGUCUGUCUUAAAAGUUCGGGGCUCAACCCCGUGAUGGGAUGGAAACUAAUAUUCUUGAGUGCAGGAGAGGAAAGUGGAAUUCCCAGUGUAGCGGUGAAAUGCGUAGAUAUUGGGAGGAACACCAGUGGCGAAGGCGACUUUCUGGACUGUGUCUGACGCUGAGGCGCGAAAGCCAGGGGAGUGAACGGGAUUAGAUACCCCGGUAAUCCUGGCCGUAAACGAUGGGUACUAGGUGUGGGAGGUAUCGACCCCUUCUGUGCCGGAGUUAACGCAAUAAGUACCCCGCCUGGGAGUACGGCCGCAAGGUUGAAACUCAAAGGAUUGACGGGGGCCCGCACAAGCGGUGGAGUAUGUGGUUUAAUUCGACGCAACGCGAAAAACCUUACCAGGACUUGGACAUCGAUUGAAAGUU
rnacentral:rRNA from 1 species